GCGCCCAAAGCCGACGUGGAGGUGAUGCGCGGGAGCACAGAUCCGGGGCAGUGCGCUGCGCAGAGGCGCGCGGCGAAGCCGAGUGGGCGCGGGAGUGACGUCACGGCGCGCGACGUGGAGGCGGGGCAACUCGCUGAUGGCGCCGGUAGGCCGCUGGCAGAAGGGCCGCGACCUCACCUGGUACGCCAAGGGCCGGGCGCCAUGCGCGGGCCCGAGCCGCGAGGAGGAACUGGCAGCCGUGCGGGAGGCGGAGCGAGAGGCGCUGCUGGCCGCCCUUGGCUACAAGAACGUGAAGAAGCAGCCCACGGGCCUGAGCAAGGAGGACUUCGCGGAGGUCUGCAAGCGGGAAGGAGGCGACCCCGAGGAGAAGGGCGUGGACCGGCUGCUGGGGCUGGGGAGCGCCAGUGGCUCCGUGGGCCGCGUGGCGAUGUCCCGAGAGGACAAGGAGGCCGCCAAACUGGGGCUGUCUGUAUUCACGCAUCACCGCGUAGAGAGCGGCGGGCCCGGGACCUCGGCAGCCUCGGCCAGGAGGAAGCCGCGGGCGGAGGAUCAGACGGAAAGCAGGUGAGGCUGUGCCAACUGGGCUAG
rnacentral:sRNA from 1 species